ACGAUAUUUGUUAAAAAUGAAGAUUCCUAGCCCUACUCCGAGGGUUUCUGACUCAGCAGGAGUAGGGUGGAGCCCAGGAAUCUGCAUUUCU
rnacentral:miRNA from 1 species